AAAAAAAAAGGUGAUUUGUCAGCAAAGAGAGUUUUUGUAAUUUCACUCUUUGCUAUGCAUUUUAUGUGUGGGAUUCAUUUAUUCUACUUAUGAAAUUAAGUAUGCCAAUUGUGUAGAGAUUUUUCAUUUUUCAUCAAGUAUUAUUAAUGGGAAAGGUUAAGUUUUGUCAUGGAAUAUAGUUAGAGAUGGUUAAUAUCUAUAAUAACAAUAUAUUACUGAUACUGUUUUAGGUUGGCUUACAAGAUCUUAUGCUUUCAAGAAAGUUUUGGCAACUCUUUUGUUUCGUUUUAUUGUUCCCCUAUUAUCAAAUGUUGUGCACAUACUUUUGGGACGGAAAGCAAGACAUCUAGAAUGAAUUAAUUAUUUACCAUUCUUGUUUUACUAUGUCUUCGUAUAAUAUGUGCAUGUGUGUGUGUGUGACGUCUAGAACGAAUUUAGUGUGUGUGUGAAACAUCUAGAAUGAAUUCGUGUUGAUGUGUGUGUGUGUGUG
rnacentral:misc_RNA from 1 species